CGGAAGUAGCUGUGCCGGGAAAACGCGCGACUUUUGAGACGAGAUGGAAUCAUUAUUGUCGUCGUCAGUGACUGAAGACUGUGGACGCUGAUUUGAGGCUGCACACCUGAGUCAUGAUGGAAAGAGAAAAGGUCCCAGGUGGCAAACCCCAAGAUACCAGCAAGGCUAUCGGCUGUGGACUGCUGCUGUCUAAUAAGUUUUGGCCAAAGAGAAUUGUUCCUCCAGUGAGCCAGCGACAGUGAGACCAGGGUGGACAGCUCUUUGGAAGUGCUGAGGCGAGAAAGAUCCCUCUGUUGUAAAGUUCCUUCGGGCUGCUAAGGUGAUGAUAAGACCAUGGGCUCCCUCACCCUCUCUCCUGAUUCUGUUCAC